AGGGAAGGGAGGAGCAGUGACAGGAGCUCUGCUUUCAGAGAGUGUGUUGUGACAUCACAGCUUCAAGCCAGACAGCUCAGCUGAUAUGGAGAGAUCUAUGGAAACUGGGAGGUAUAUAGGCAUGUGGAAAGCUGCUGCAGCACAUCAGAAAAUACAGUAUGACCAUCCAUAAGGGCAGAACAUGCAACUUCGUAAGAAAUUGUCAGGAAACUUUUAGUGCUGCAAAGUUUUGUUCUACAAGGUCAGGAAAUUGUCACAACCAAACCAUAAAGAUAAAACCACCAAUAAUUCAUGGCUGAUACCUCAAGAUUCCUUCCUGUAACAGCCAAUGUUCUGCAGAAAUUGUAUGGCAGAAACAAUACGAUUAGGUCAGUGCUGUGUCAAGUACAGUGGAUAUCAAGAGGUUUUUUAUAGAAAGAAAGGUAAA